CUUCCUCCUCGUAAUGUUCCUUCCCUUUGUGAAACUCUCAGUUCUUCCUUGUGAUUGGUGUUCCCCCAUGAAUUCAAACUCCUUUCUGCAGCUUCAAAAGGUGAAUGGACCAUGGACCAGUUCUCAGUUGCUGUUGGGGUGUUUUGUCAAAUAGCUUUGUUAAAAUCGCCAUUUAGGUAUGAAGCAGAGAAGCAUAUGUGUUUCAAAUUUUCCACCUGUGGUUUGACAAUAGUUGCUGCUCUUUGGAUUAUGUUCUGAUAGUCCUUUUUGUAAGCUGUCCUAGCCAAAGUUAGGUUAUUUUGCUUUUCUCGCAAAUAUUUGGCUCUGGUUUAAUAUGUAUAUAUAAUAUCGGUGAGCCUCUGUGGUACUACGAUCAUUGUGAAUGAUGGCCAUACUGAUUUGGUAGUGUCCUUAAUCUUUCUUGUCUUGAUCCGCAAACUCAUGACCUGUUGCUUAUCC